rnacentral:rRNA from 1 species
UACGGAGGGGGCUAGCGUUGUUCGGAAUUACUGGGCGUAAAGCGCACGUAGGCGGAUCGCUAAGUCAGGGGUGAAAUCCCGAGGCUCAACCUCGGAACUGCCUUUGAUACUGACGAUCUUGAGUCCGGGAGAGGUGAGUGGAAGUGCGAGUGUAGAGGUGAAAUGCGUAGAUAUUCGCAAGAACACCAGUGGCGAAGGCGGCUCACUGGCCCGGUACUGACGCUGAGAUACGAAAGCGUGGGGAGCAAACAGG